UUAAUUUGGCUUUUGUCACUCAGUUGGCCCCAGAUAUUAGGAAGAAAUUGCAGCAGAUGGAGGGAUUUGAGGGAGAAAAUAGGGAAAAAUUGAUGAGUGUGACAAUGAAGGUGUUUAAUAACAGGGAUCCUUUUGAUGACAGAAUGGCUAAAAAGAUAGAAAAAGCAAAUAUUGCAGCCUUAGCAGAUGGAGGUUUCAUCCAAAAGGAACACAGAGAAAAUAAAAAAGAGGAUAAAAGAAAAGUACGGCACUUGUUAGAGAAGGAUCAAUGCACAUAUUGCAAAGAGAAGGGCCAUUAUAAAAGGGAUUGUGAGAAGUUGAAAAGAAAGAGAGAGAAAGAGGCUAAGAAAGAAAAAUAUGGGGUUCUUCUAAUAGAUAAAGAAGAUUGACAAGGCCAGGGUGGGGAUCUCCAAACACAUCCACCAACUCCAGGCAGCCAGGAUCUUGAUCCCUUGCCAGUCAGCCUGGAAUACAACCCUGCUUCCCGUGAAAAAGCCUGGCACCUCAGACUUCAGGCUGGUACAGGAUUUGUGGGAGGUAAACAGCUGGGUGGAGAUGGUCCACCCAAUGGUACCAAACCCCUAUACUCUGUUGAGUCUCAUCCCUCCUGCUCAUGUGUGGUACUCGGUAUUAGACCUCAAAGAUGCGUUUUUCAGGCUGCCUCUAGCACCAGUUAGCCACUCCCUCUUUGCCUUCAAAUGGACUGACCCAGACACCAGGACUACCAGACAGCUGACAUGGACCCGGCUGCUGCAGGGAUUCAAAAACUCCCCCACUCUGUUCCAGGGAAGCUCUCAGCAAAGAUUUACACAAGGUAAGAAAAGUGUUUCCCCAGGCGACUAUUCUUCAGUAUGUUGAUGACCUCCUGGUGGCAACUUCAACUGAUAAAGAAGGCAUUUCAGCCACCAAGGGCCUCCUGAAAGCCCUCCAGGACCUGGGAUAUUGGGUGUCUUGGAAGAAAGCUCAGCUCUGCUGGACAAAGGUAACUACUUGGGCUAUAUUCAUGAAAAGGGAAAUAGGAGGUGGGUAGAAUCGAGGGUAUCUGCAAUUCUCCAGAUUCUAGAGCCGAGCUCAAAGAAACAGGUGUGAGAAAUCCUAGGGGUUGGUGGCUAUUGCAGAAUUUGGAUUCCUGGCUUUUCUGAGAUUGCCAAACCCCUGCAUGAAGUCACUGCAGGAGGAAAUAUGCCCCUUAAAUGGACCGAGGCUUGCCAGCAGGCAUUUCAAUUUCUUAAGACUGUGCUUACAUCGGCACCAGCCCUGGCAUUGCCAGACUUAAACAAGUCCUUCACCCUGUAUGUAGCAGAGAAAAAUGGGGUAGCCAAGGGAGUGAUUACUCAGCUUUUGGGGCCAUGGAAGUGACCCGUGGCAUAUCUCUCAAAGAAGCUCGAGCCAGUGGCCCUAGGGUGGCCUACUUGUCUGAGAGCAGUAGCAGCAGCAGCUGCUUUAACUGGAGAGGCUGACAAAUUGACCUUGGGACAGUAUUUGACUUUGAUCACUCCCCAUGCCAUUGAGCCCUUGUUGAAUAGCGCAACUAGCAAACAGCUGUCUAAUGCCAGACUGUUACAAUAUCAAGGACUCUUGUUAGAACAGCCAUGCAUUAAGUUUGCCACCACCACUAGCCUCAAUCCGGCUACUCUACUCCUGGAAUCUGAUGAACAAAUACCCAUCCAUGAUUCCCUCGAGGCUCUUGAAAACUUGAGGGGAGGACAUCCAGACUUGAUGGACCAGGCCCUCCCUCAUGCAGAGAUAACAUUCUAUAUUGAUGGGUGCAGUUUCUUUCAUGAUGGUGUAUGGUAUGCUGAAGCAGCGGUAGUCAACCAAGCCCAACAGGUGGAAUGGGAGCAUUGGCUGCCUCAAGGGACAUCAGCUCAGAAGGCUGAGCUGAUUGCUUUGACUAAGGCUCUGGAAUUGGGAAAAGGAAAAAGGAUAAAUAUAUUCACUGAUAGCCAUUAUGCUUUUGCCACCGCCCAUGUACAUGGGGAGAUUUAUCAAAAUAGAGGACUGUUGACCUCCGAAGGAAAGGAAAUCAAAAAUAACACUGAGAUAUUGGCAUUGCUACAAGCAAUCUGGUUGCCUCGAGAGGUCGCCAUCAUCCAUUGCCAUGGGCACUAGAAGGGGCUUAGCCCCGAGGUGAUUGGUAAUAAUGCUGCUGACCAGGCAGCAAAACAAGCCACCAAAAAAAUCAGUGGGGAAGUAAAUGGUUCUGCUUCCCACAUCGGUACUCCCACAAAAACCUGAAUACACAGAUAAAGAAUUAGCAGAAAUGAACAGAAGAUGCUGGACUUGAAGAAAACAUGGAUGGUUUAUGAGUAAGGAUAGAAAGGUGGUGCUCCCAGCUGCUGUAGCAGAUGUGUUGCUGCGAGAACUACAUGAGUCCACCCACCUCAGUGGGAAAAGGAUGAUGGCUGCCCUAUGACCUCAUUUUGUCAGCGAGGGAUUAGCCCAAAAGGUCCAGGACAUGGUGACAUGAUGCCCCACCUGCCUCAAGGUUUGAUUCCAAGACCCUGGAACCUCAUUGGAAGGGACUGGUUCCUGUUGUCCUGUCAACUCCCUUGGUGGUGAAGGUGGCUGGACAUUCUGCCUGGAUACAUCGCAACCAUCUGAAAACAGGAUACCCCCACAGAUGUCAAAAAGGACAAAUGGAAGGUUAUCAGCCAACCAGGCAACCAAAGGCUAAGAUUGGAGUGGGUUGGAGAUGUUUCGUCUUCAGGAUAAUAUUCUCUGGGACACUGACAGUGUUGCCCCCAAGAGGACUAGAUCACACAGAAAAUGUAUGGAUUCAUUUGGCAAACUCGCUUAAUUUGUCUGAAUUCUGUCUAAAUGUUGAUGUAAAUUUCCAUCAUGUAUUGGGGACAUGCCUCACGUCGUAAACCUAAAAAUGCUGUCAAAUUAUAUACACCUAGGGUAAUUAUGUCAAAUAAUACCCAAUGUACUAUGUACAAAAAUUGUACAACCAAAAGUCUGAGGAUAAAACAGUCAGGAGGAAUGCCCUGCCAUAUAAAACAAAAAAUUGUGUAUAACAAUUGCCAUCUCUCCCUGCCAAUAGGAUGGUUUUAUACCUGUGAAUGAAUAACUUUCAAUUAUAUCCCAGCCAAUUUAA